rnacentral:rRNA from 1 species
AGCAGUAGCCACGGGAAUACAGAGGGUGCGAGCGUUAAUCGGAUUUACUGGGCGUAAAGCGUGCGUAGGUGGUUCAUUAAGUUGGAUGUGAAAGCCCUGGGCUCAACCUGGGAACUGCAUCCAAAACUGGUGAGCUAGAGUACGGUAGAGGGUAGUGGAAUUUCCUGUGUAGCGGUGAAAUGCGUAGAUAUAGGAAGGAACACCAGUGGCGAAGGCGACUACCUGGACUGAUACUGACACUGAGGUGCGAAAGCGUGGGGAGCAAACAGGAUUAGAUACCCCUGUAGUCCCUGUCUCUUAUAC